GACGAACGCUGGCGGCGUGCUUAACACAUGCAAGUCGAACGGAAAGGCCUGCUUUCCCUUGUGGAUUGCGGGUACUCGAGUGGCGAACGGGUGAGUAACACGUGAGUGAUCUGCCCCCAACUUGGGUAUAAGCCUGGGAAACUGGGUCUAAUUCCCGAUAGGACUGCAGGGUGGUGCCUGUGGUGGAAAACGAUUUUCUAGUGGUUGGGGAUGAGCUCGCGGCCUAUCAGCUUGUUGGUGGGGUAAUGGCCUACCAAGGCGGCGACGGGUAGCCGGCCUGAGAGGGUGGACGGCAACAUUGGGACUGAGAUACGGCCCAGACUCCUACGGGAGGCAGCAGUGGGGAAUAUUGCACAAUGGGCGGAAGCCUGAUGCAGCGACGCCGCGUGGGGGAUGACGGCCUUCGGGUGGUAAACUCCUUUCGACCGCGAGGAAGCCACCUGGUUGGAAGGGUGGUGACGGUAGUGGUAGAAGAAGCACCGGCUAACUACGUG
rnacentral:rRNA from 1 species